CCCCAGCGCCACAAGUGGUUAUCACGAUUAUUGGGCCUAAAGCGUUCGUAGCCGGUUUAGUAAAUCUCUUGUGAAAUUGUUCGGCUUAACCGGACAGCGUGCAGGAGACACUGCCAGACUCGAGACCGGGAGGGGUUAGAAGUAUUCCAUGGGGACUGGUAAAAUGGGAUAAUCCAUGGAAGACUACCGAUGGCGAAGGCAUCUAACCAGAACGGAUCUGACGGUGAGGAACGAAAGCCAGGGGAGCGAACCGG
rnacentral:rRNA from 1 species